rnacentral:snRNA from 1 species
AUACUUACCUAGCAGGGGAGACCAUGAUCACAGUGGUGGUUUUCCCAGGGUGAGGCUCGUUCUUUGCACUCCAGGCCGACUAACCCCUGCAAGCUUCCCAAAUGCAGGAGACUUAACUGCACAAUUUUAC